AUACUUACCUGGCAGGGGAGAUAUGAUCAUGAAAGGGGUUGUGCUUUUUUUUUUUUCCAAGCAGGAAAUGUUAUCCAUUGCACUCUGAUAUGCUGGCCCUUUGUAACUUCCCCAAAUGUGGGAGCCUCAACGACAUCACUUGUGGGAGUGGGGAAGACUGUGUUUCUGCUCUCC
rnacentral:snRNA from 1 species